AUGCAAGUCAGAUCUCUCAUCCUCACGGCCUUCCUGGGGCAACUGCUGGGCACCAUGGGCCAGGUCACUGUCACCCAGCAAGAAGGACACGUCACAGUGAAGCAGGGAGACACCUUCCAGACAACCUGCACAUACCAGACUUCCAGCUAUUACGGCUUGGUCUGGUACCAGCAGAGGAAAGGCCAAGGUCCCCAGCUGGUCUGUUAUCAGGCAACUGCUGGCCGCAAGCCCGGUGGCCGUCUCACCACCGUGCUGAACACCAUGGAGAAAUACAGCCUCCUCCAGCUGGAGGAAGUCGGGCUCUUUGACAGUGCCUUGUACCUCUGUGCAGUGCGUGACACGCUGGCAGAUCCCAGCAUGGGGCAUCCAUGGGUCUUCAUUCCCCUGUUCUCGCUGGGGGCGUUAAACAUUCUAGUGGGAGCUGGUCAGUUCCUCCACCUCAUCUGCUGUGAUGAACUGGCACUUUUGGUAGCAAGUGUCCUGGAUCUGCUCAGUCACAAAUGA